UUGAACUUCCCAGACUCCAGAACUACUCCUGCCCCUGCCACGAGAACACACCCUUUCCAGUUUGCUGGAGAAAUAUAAGAGAAGUCCAGUGAAAGAGAGCUGAGUUUCCCCAAUGAUGCCAUCAAGAUGAACUAACUACAGUUAACCAGCCAGCUGAUAGCAGAUGCAUGAGUGAGCCCAGCUGAGAGCAGGUUGUGCAAGCAUGGCACGUGCAUCUGUUUGGCUUCUGGUGAGGCCUCAGGAAGCUUACAGUCAUGGUGGAAGGCAAAGAGGGAGCCAGUAUAUCACGUGAACUCGUAGAGUGAGAACUCAUUCACUACCAUGAAGACAACACCAAGCCAUUCCUGAGUGCCUACAAUAGUUCCUGGUAUGUAGAAGGUAUACAAUAAAUAUUGGCGGAGUGAAGGAACAAAUGGGAUUUGCUUGAUUCUGCUGCAGAAGACUAAGGAAAAGACAUAAAUGAAUAAAUAACUAGUAGAAUGUUAACACAAUCAGAAAAAGGACCAUUUCUUUUCAUUUGGAUGUCUCAAAUCUAUUUGUUGUUGUUGUUGUUGUUUUUCUGGCUGGGCUUGAAAUGUAGGCAUGCAGCCAGGAGGCUCCAUGCUGACUAAUGAGAUAGAGAUACCCAUUUAGCCCAGCAAUAUUCAUACAUUGUUUAUGCAUUCAUUUUUCUCUAGUGACUUUUUAAUAUAUUUUGGUGAAGAUAUUCCAAAGAUAAUGAAGAUAUGUUGAGUGGGCAUUAAAAGUGAUGAGUCUUUUUUUCCAUUAUCAAAGACAAAUACAGGUGUGUAAUGUAUGCAGAGAAUUAGAAGUAGGGAAAAAAAUGAGGGAAUCCAAAAUAAUGAAAAGUAAUUAAAGCUCUCCAAUAAUUGAAAGAAAGGCCAAACUGAAAACAUAAAUCUCCAGACUCUGCAAGGAUUUAUACUGAUGUGGGGCGUGUGGACCAAUGGCUUUCAGGAUGUGAUUCAUUUUGAAAAAAGUGUCAUUU
rnacentral:lncRNA from 1 species